rnacentral:rRNA from 1 species
CAGCAGUCGGGGAAUAUUGCACAAUGGGCGCAAGCCUGAUGCAGCCAUGCCGCGUGUAUGAAGAAGGCCUUCGGGUGUAAAGUACUUUCAGCAGUGAGGAAGGUGGGUAUGUUAAUAGCAUACUCAUUUGACGUUAGCUGCAGAAGAAGCACCGGCUAACUCCGUGCCAGCAAGCCGCGGUAAUACGGAGGGUGCGAGCGUUAAUCGGAAUUACUGGGCGUAAAGCGCAUGCAGGUGGUUGUUAAGUCAGAUGUGAAAGCCCGGGGCUCAACCUCGGAAUUGCAUUUGAAACUGGCAAACUAGAGUACUGUAGAGGGGGUAGAAUUUCAGGUGUAGCGGUGAAAUGCGUAGAGAUCUGAAGGAAUACCGGUGGCGAAGGCGGCCCCCUGGACAGAUACUGACACUCAGAUUGCGAAAGCGUGGGGAGCAAACAGGAUUAGAUACCCUGGUAG